GACAGAGGUUGCAAACGUUGUUCGGAAUUACUGGGCAUAAAGCGCGUGUAGGCGGCCAGAUAAGUCCGCUGUGAAAUCUCGAGGCUCAACUUCGAGCUGUCGGUGGAAACUGUCUGGCUAGAGUCCGGAAGAGGAGAAUGGAAUUCCUGGUGUAGCGGUGAAAUGCGCAGAUAUCAGGAAGAACACCCGUGGCGAAGGCGGUUCUCUGGGACGGUACUGACGCUGAGACGCGAAAGCGUGGGGAGCGAACAGG
rnacentral:rRNA from 1 species